rnacentral:rRNA from 1 species
CCUACGGGUUGCACCAGUGGGGAAUAUUGCACAAUGGGCGCAAGCCUGAUGCAGCCAUGCCGCGUGUAUGAAGAAGGCCUUAGGGUUGUAAAGUACUUUCAGUUGGGAGGAAGGCGUUGAUGCUAAUAUCAUCAACGAUUGACGUUACCAACAGAAGAAGCACCGGCUAACUCCGUGCCAGCAGCCGCGGUAAUACGGAGGGAGCAAGCGUUAAUCGGAAUUACUGGGCGUAAAGCGCACGCAGGCGUUCUGUCAGGUCGGAUGUGAAAUCCCCGGGCUCAACCUGGGAACUGCAUUCGAAACUGGCAGGCUAGAGUCUUGUAGAGGGGGGUAGAAUUCCAGGUGUAGCGGUGAAAUGCGUAGAGAUCUGGAGGAAUACCGGUGGCGAAGGCGGCCCCCUGGACAAAGACUGACGCUCAGGUGCGAAAGCGUGGGGAGCAAACAGGAUUAGAUACCCCCGUAGUC